rnacentral:rRNA from 1 species
AUGGACUCUGGGGCGACAGAGCAUCUGACCAGCGAGAUGGGGAAGCUUCACACUCGUGAACCCUAUCAUGGCUCCGACAAGAUCCACACCGCCAAUGGAGCAGGUAUGCACAUCUCUCAUAUUGGUCAAGCAUCUCUUCUCACUAGACAUGCCAAUAGGAGUCUUCAGCUUCGCAAUGUUCUUCGAGUUCCAUCUGUGACCCGUAAUCUUCUUUCAGUUCCUAAACUCACACGUGAUAAUAAUGUGCUUUGUGAAUUUCACCCUUUUGAUCUUUUUAUUAAGGAUCGGGGCACGAGGGACAUUCUUCUUAGUGGGCGGUUGUGCCAGGGCCUCUACCGUCUGGAGCAUCCUGGCGUCGCCCGUGUUUUCAGUGGAGUUCGGGUCUCUCCGUCAUAG